rnacentral:misc_RNA from 1 species
AAUGACUUCAUUUAUGACUUAAAUAAUUGAGGUAAUGUUCUCUCUAUAAUUGUAUUGUGCGUCCUAUGGUAAAAAUAAAAAUUGAAGUUCCCAUUAAUUGUGUUUAAAUAAUAUCCAUUGAGUAGCUUUGUGUAUUAAUUUUGAAAGUCUCAAUAAUGAAUUCCAUUGAAUAGUUUUUGCUUGUAUUUUUCUGAAAAACAAGCAGAAGUGGAAUGCCAACUUUUCUACAAUGCUUGGAACUUAGGUUAACUUUGUGCAUAUUUUAAAUUGAAUGGAAUGGAAUAGAGUGAUUAAUUUUAUUUUGCUCUUUGUAUAGGACUAUUGCAAAGCACUAUAUU